rnacentral:rRNA from 1 species
AAUCAACGCUGGCGGCGUGCCUCAGACAUGCAAGUCGAACGAUUAAAGCUCUCUUCGGAGAGUGCAUAGAGUGGCGCACGGGUGAGUAACACGUAAGUAAUCUACCUUUGAGUGGGGAAUAACGUCCGGAAACGGACGCUAAUACCGCAUAAUGCAGCGGCAUCGCAAGAUGACAGUUGUUAAAGAUUUAUCGCUUGAAGAGGAGCUUGCGGCAGAUUAGCUAGUUGGUAAGGUAAUGGCUUACCAAGGCUACGAUCUGUAACCGGUCUAAGAGGACGGUCGGUCACACUGACACUGAAUAACGGGUCAGACUCCUACGGGAGGCAGCAGUCGGGAAUUUUGGGCAAUGGGCGAAAGCCUGACCCAGCAACGCCGCGUGAAGGAUGAAGUAUUUCGGUAUGUAAACUUCGAAAGAAUGGGAAGAAUAAAUGACGGUACCAUUUAUAAGGUCCGGCUAACUACGUGCCA